AGCCUNUUGGUAGAGCGUUAGACUUUUAAUCUAACGGUCAGGGGUUCGAGUCCCCU
rnacentral:tRNA from 1 species